GUCCCUGUAGCUCAAUUGGAUAGAGUAGAGGUUUCCUAAACCUUCGAUAUAGGUUCGAUUCCUAUCAGGGACG
rnacentral:tRNA from 1 species